AGCGAACGCUGGCGGCAGGCUUAACACAUGCAAGUCGAGCGGGCACUUUCGGGUGUCAGCGGCGGACGGGUGAGUAACGCGUGGGAACGUGCCCUCUGGUUCGGAAUAACUCAGGGAAACUUGAGCUAAUACCGGAUACGCCCUUUUGGGGAAAGGCUUGCUGCCGGAGGAUCGGCCCGCGUCUGAUUAGCUAGUUGGUGAGGUAACGGCUCACCAAGGCGACGAUCAGUAGCUGGUCUGAGAGGAUGAUCAGCCACACUGGGACUGAGACACGGCCCAGACUCCUACGGGAGGCAGCAGUGGGGAAUAUUGGACAAUGGGCGCAAGCCUGAUCCAGCCAUGCCGCGUGAGUGAUGAGGCCUUAGGGUUGUAAAGCUCUUUUAUCCGGGACGAUAAUGACGGUACCGGAGGAAUAAGCCCCGGCUAACUUCGUG
rnacentral:rRNA from 1 species